GAGGCAGCAGUAGGGAUUUUUUCGGCAAUGGGGCAAAAGGGUUANAUGNAGCCAACUGCGGGNANAGCNGAUUACCGUCCAUCNCAUCGUGAAGCUCUAUUAUUUGGGAAGAACAAAACCCUUUAGUAANGUGGGCGACGUNUUUAANGGGUACCGUAAUCAGAAAAGCCANGGGUUAAUUUACGUNCCCAACAGCCCGCGGUAAAUACAUAGGGGGCAAAGCUUUAUCCGGAAAUUAUGGGGUGUAAAGCGCGUAUAGGCGGUUUCUUAAGUNUGAUGUGAAAGCCCGCGUCUCAACCGUGGAGGGUCAUUGGAAACUGGAGAUCUUGAGUGCAGAAGAGGAAAGUGGAAUUUCCAUGUGUAGCGGUGAAAUGCGCAGAGAUAUGGAGGAACACCAGUGGAGAAGGCGAAUUUGUUGUCUGUAACUGACGGUGAUGUGCGAAAGCGUGGGGAUCAAACAGGAUUAGAUACCCUGGUAGUCCACGCCGUAAACGAUGAGUGCUAAGUGUUAGGGGGUUUGGGUCUCCUUAGUGCUGCAGCUAACGCAUUAAGCACUCCGCGUGGGGAGUACGACCGCAAGGUUGAUACUCAGAGGAAUUGACGGGGACCCGCACAAGCGGUGGAGCAUGUGGUUUAAUUAGAAGCAACGCGAAGAACCUUACCCAAUCUCGACAUCCUGUGACCCCUAUAGAGAUAGAUUUUUCCCCUUCGGGGGACAGAGUGACAGGUGGUGCAUGGUUGUCGUCAGCUCGUGUCGUGAGAUGUUGGGUUUAGUCCCGCAACGAGCGCAACCGCUUAGCUUAGUCACCAUCAUUAAGUUGGGCAUUUUAAGUUGACUGCCGGUGCCAAACCGGAGGAAGGUGGGGAUGACGUCAAAUCAUCAUGCCCCUUAUGAUUUGGGCUCCACACGUGCUCCAAUGCACAAUCCAAAGGGCAGCGAAUCCGCGAGGUCAAGCGAAUCCCAUAAAGUGGUUCUCAGUUCGGAUCGUAGUGCGCAUCUCGAGUACAUGAAGCUGGAAUCGAUAGUAAUCGUAGAUCAGCAUGGUACGGUGAAUACGUUCCCGCGUCGUGCACACACCGCCUGUCACACCACGAGAGUUUGUAACACCCGAAGCCGGUGGAGUCACCAUUGGAGCUAG
rnacentral:rRNA from 1 species